rnacentral:misc_RNA from 1 species
CCGCGCAUCUCAUCAAACAGCCGCAAAACACCUCGACCCCUUCCCCCUCCCCUCGCCUCAAAGAAAAACAAGAGACAAGGGGACCACGAGAUUCGCAAGGAAACACAGAAAAGGACAGCGCACCAAAGACACGAGUAAGACGAAGUAUCAUCACGAACCUUCUGAGAAGUUGUGCCUAUCGAACUUGUGUCUCCAUUUUUCAUUGUUGGUGACCUCCUCCUCCUUACCACUCACCUCUCUGUCUUUCUGUCAGUGUGUACACUCGCGCAUCUCCAAACAGGCUCUUCCGCACCCCUCUCUCUCCCUCCUGUAGUUCGCCUCCGAACCAGUUGGGAUCUGAGUUGCCCGGCUUUCUUUUCCGCAUCCGUCUACCGCGUCUUCCUCCGCCAUCUCUCUCGCUGUGUAUCCCUCGCAAGAACGUAGGGGCGCCGGGCAGCAGCAGGAAAACGACACGCACAUACUGCACUUAUCAUAGCGAUGCAGCUGAGCAGGCCAGCAGCGCCCCACCACGUGGGUGGCGCUCGCCAUUGUCGUCUGGUCGUUCUGUCCGUUGCCGUGUUGCUUGUCGUGCUCCUCAGUCACGGCGUCGAGCACGCUCAAGGGUUUGCGUUCGUUCCGGUGGUCAACACCUUCGCGAGGCCCGAGGGAAGCGGCCACAAGAUUGAGAGCCGCCUUGUCUGUCAGGAGGGUGGCGGCUACAUUGCUGGUGAGCCGACGGCCGCGGCGCACACCGCUGUCAUCGAGGCGGCGCGCGGUGCCGGUGCUGGCACGGAGUGGUAUGCGUACCUUGGGGCCAGCACGGACGCCAGCCCGGCUGGCGAUUGCCCUCCACCCCUCACCGAGCAUAUCCUCGGCUCCGGCGCCGGCCUGUCCUUCGGCUGCUACUGGCGCUGGAACCAAGGCCGCUGGACCGAGACAGACGAUAACCCGGAGCUGCCGCUGCACAUUAGCAACGUUGGCGUUACCUUCUACAUCGGCAACUACUUCGGGGAGCCGACGUCGCCGUCAGUGAAUGUGUACGGCGUGCAGAGCGGCUUCCCGUCAUGGUUCAAUGCCACCGCCCCCAAGAAGUCUCAGUUGCGACCGAGCUCUAUGUUUGGCCAGGACCUCCUUGCUGUCGGAAACGGCGACACAUCCACCUGGUCCGACAACAAGGCCUCGGGCGGCUACACCUACGCAGGAUUCCUCUUUAGCAGCGUCUACAAUGGCAGCAGGUGGAAGGAAGAGUCGCAGAGGGCAAGCCGGGCGUUCUUCUGGGCUGUGUGCCAGACACAAGGUCCCAGCCGUAUGAUGUACGAGCUCCACAACACUUCGAGCAGCGUGCAGAACAACUGGUGGGUCAUCUUCUUCUCCAUUCUCAUGGUGCUGUGCCUCGUCGUCUUCAUUGUGACGGCGUGCUGCCAGGACAACGAAGGCAUGGACGAGCCGCCGGAGGAUGCGCCGGAGUGGGCGCAGGAGGAGACGAAUCAGGCCACGCGCACAAAGUCCUUUGUGUCUACACGCUCCUUCGUGCAGCAGUGCAGCCAGCACACCUCAGGUGACUACGACGGGGAUAUGGGAAACUCGGUGCAGCAACUCAACAUGAAGCAAGGCACCAUGUACGGCGACAACCACAGUGCGGCAAAUCAGAUGCCACCGAAUCAGUACCCCAACUCCUUCUCGAGCCCAAACGGCGCCGACAACGAAGGCGCCCACUCCUUGUACACUGGUGACAGGAAAGCUACAGGCAAUUGGAUGUAAGCGCAGGACAACAAAGCCCCAAGGCAGCAGCGACACACCUGGGACCAGCGGCGUACGUGGAUUCCUUAGAGAAACGGAGGACAUUCAUGCGAUUGCCUAUUCCAUAACUGUGCGGCACACGUUCUUCACCACCUUCCUUAGCUUCGCACAUGACUUCUCUCGGCGGCACGCGCCUUUCGCUGUUUUCCGGUUUUCGCCUGGUGCGUGCGGCUGUCUUUUAUGGUGGCCUACAGAGGUACUUCGUUAUUAACUGUGCGAGGAGAGAAGGCACCGUCACACGUCGACGGUGGCGGCGACGGCGGCGGGGGGGGGUAAGUCGUUAUGCUGAUUUCACUCGUCAAUAUACAUAUAUAUAUAUAUAUAUAUAUAUUUAUAUGUAUGUGGGCCACGGCCACACGUACGCAGGCGCUCUUCGUCCUUGCAGAGGUGAUCCUGGCGUUUGUGUGCGUGUGUCUCUCUCUUCCGUCCACACCCCACCCUCCCACUCUGUCGUUACUUCUCUCUAUAUAGCUUUCUCUGCCUUCGUUUAUGUUUUAUUGUUUUAUUUUCCACUUCGCGCCUGAAAAGGGAGCCUCCACGGUUGGCUGGUUGGCUUGCAUUCUUCUUCCCUCUGCGCGAGAACAUGGCCUGCACACGGGCGUUCGCGCUUCUUUCUGUGGCGGUGGCGGCUCGGCUCCUCUGCUGUUCGCGGUCGCUCUGCCUCUGCCCCACGUCGUUUCUUCAUCUGCUGCUUAGCCCCCUCUCUCGCGCGCGCUUGUGCGGAGUUUGCGGAUAGGACAGCAACACAACGAUGAACUGCAAAGCAGGGCGAUGGGGGAGGGGGACGGGAGACGGGAGACGAGGGGGAGGGAGGGCACAGGCACACAAACGCAGAGACACAGCACCUCGCAUUCUUUUCACUCUUGCUUCCUCCCUUCACACACUUUCUCUUUCUUCAGACUGUGCAGAUGCUCCUUCCCAACCCACGCCCCUCACGCUCGCUACGGAUGGCUGCCAUGCCGACGCGUUGGCGGAGGAAAAAGGAUGACGGCAUUCGUGCCGCUUCUCUCUCCGUCGUACACAUAGUGCACACGCUUGCGUGAGAGGACGUCAGGGAAAGGAAAGGAGAUGCAGCAACGGCGACGGCUCUGGUGGGCAAGGAUCCAUGUGUCUUACCCUGUAUAUAUACUUUUGUGUCUCUGUACGAGUGUGUGUGUGUGCCCUUUUAUGCCGCGGCUACUCAUGCGACCCGCUCUCUCUUACCGCUAGAGCUGUAGUGUGUAUGCCUCUCAUCGCUCGCCCUCGUGUCGGUGUGCAGGUGUGUGGCUCUUCUUGCUUCGAGAACUGGAACUAUUGCUGUCGUGUCUCUUCCUUCUUGCUCUUGCUCUGACUCUCUAUGUAUGCAUCUCAACGAUUGCCCUCAACAUGUGCAUUUUUCUUUUGCAUGCCUCACGGGUGUCUCUCGCUACGUGUGUGCGUGCGCAUGUGUGUAUGUGUGUAUGUGUGUGCUCCGCCUAUACUCUGGCAUUCUUUUUUUUUUCACUUGGCCUUUGUGCGUGCGCGGGUGGGAGGGGGGAGCAGCCGGGUGCGCACAUGUGUAUGACUCUUCGGGUAAUUGCUAUGCCCCUCCCUCCUCCUCCCUUCCUCCCUCACCCCUCGUCCGCAUGCCCUUCCUUUUCUCGGUGCCGCCUGCGGCGACUCCACAGCCCCAUCCUUCUUUUUUUUUUGUGGAGUCGUCUUUCUCUUCUCUACCAUCUUCGCAGUCACUGUCGUUUUCGGUGCACGCACACACGCCAUGUGAGAGAAAGAGAGAUGUGGUAUUCCUUUCUUUGUUGUUGUUGAGGGUGGGUGGGUGGGAAAUGAUGAGAGGACGGGCACACGCCCACACCCCUCCUUGUGGAUCAGAUGGACGCCCUCGAUGGCGACGCUCUCGUUCUCCUCAAGUGUAGAAAUUUUCUCGGGUGCGUGUCCUUUCUCGUGUCUCUCUUUAGCCCAUUUUCGCUUUUUUAUGACAGUCUCGGUGCUACAUCCCUUCUAAAUGUUUGAGACAUCCACGCAUGACGGCUUGCCCCCUCCCCCGCUCCCUUCCCAGUUUAUCUUCGGCUUCGCCUUCGCGCGUACGUGGAGAGGUAGAGGGACAGAGCAGCAAUGCACGUCCACACACACGCACACACAGCUCUUGCCUUCGGUGUUCUACUCUCGCUUCAUCUUGUCUGUUUCGUUGACUCUCUUCACGAUACAGAGGGCCAGGCGAGCACAGCCCACGAAAGGAGCUAAAAAACACGGCGAAUUGAGGCGUCGAGGCGUGCGAUGGGCGCCCACUGGCGCAGCGGAAAAUGAGGGAUGUGUAGGAUGGGCAGACGGGCAUGGCCAUACCGUGAUAUUCUGCAGAUCUUCUUGUAUCUCUCACUCUCCUGCUCCUCGCCUUCGCCUUCUCCUUCUCCCAUGGAAAACCGGCGCUCAGCAGAAAGGAAGGGAGUUUUUGCACAAGCCUGCUGGCGAGC